rnacentral:rRNA from 1 species
GAUGAACGCUGGCGGCGUGCCUAAUACAUGCAAGUCGAGCGAACAGAUGAGGAGCUUGCUCCUCUGACGUUAGCGGCGGACGGGUGAGUAACACGUGGAUAGCCUACCUAUAAGACUGGGAUAACUUCGGGAAACCGGAGCUAAUACCGGAUAAUAUAUUGAACCGCAUGGUUUAAUAGUGAAAGACGGUUUUGCUGUCACUUAUAGAUGGAUCCGCGCCGCAUUAGCUAGUUGGUAAGGUAACGGCUUACCAAGGCAACGAUGCGUAGCCGACCUGAGAGGGUGAUCGGCCACACUGGAACUGAGACACGGUCCAGACUCCUACGGGAGGCAGCAGUAGGGAAUCUUCCGCAAUGGGCGAAAGCCUGACGGAGCAACGCCGCGUGAGUGAUGAAGGUCUUCGGAUCGUAAAACUCUGUUAUUAGGGAAGAACAAAUGUGUAAGUAACUAUGCACGUCUUGACGGUACCUAAUCAGAAAGCCACGGCUAACUACGUG